AUGAAUAUAUUUUUGGUGUUUACAAGCGGCCUCGGGGGCUUCCGAAACUCUGGGGUUUCCACGGAGGAAUUACAAUUGAUACAUCCAGGCGCGCUGCCACUUAAGGUUAGUCUUAAAACCCUGGACGCCAAGGCUUUCCGUAAGCUCAAUGUUCUUCACAGGCACUACGAGUCUUCCCCUUAUCAGAGCAUCACUUUUCCUGAGUUAAGCUAUCCUUCAUCUCAUGUUCAUACAUCAAAUGAUAUCCAUAGGGCGACUGAACGUGCCAGAUUACGAGGGAUUCGAGUCUUACUGGAAUUUGAUACCCCUGGACAUAUGGUGUCUUGGGGAAAAAGGUCAGAAAGACCUCUUGACCCCAUAUUACUCUCAAUAGAAACAGUUAAACACUUUCAGACCUAUAAACCCUAUUCCCAAUACAAUUUAUAGCUUAUUUACUACAUUUUUGAAAGGAAUUAGUAAGGUGUUUCCAGAUCACUUUAUUCAUUUGGGAGGAGAUGAAGUGGAUUUUAACUGUUGGGAGUUAAAUCCAAAAAUAGAUUUUAUGAAGCAAAAAGGCUUUGGUGAAGAUUUCAGAAAACCAGAAUCUUUCUAAUAUUCAAAAGCUUUUGGAUAUUAUUGCAACCAUAAACAAUGGACCCAUUGUCUGGCAAGAGGUUUUUGAUGAUAAACUGAAGAAGCUUCAGCAAGUUACACUAGUUGAAGUGUGGAAAAACUCCGGGUAUUUUGAGAAAAUGGCUUUCCUGUAAUCCUUUCUGCCCCCUUAGUACUUAGAUUUGAUAAGUUAUGGACAGGACUAGAGACAGUAAUAUAACGUGGAACCUCUUAAUUUUGGGGGUACUCAGAAAAAACGCAUCCUUGGUGGAGAAGCUUGUCAAUGUGAAUGCAACUAACCUCACUCCAAGAUUAUGGCCUUCAGCAAGUGCUGUUGGUGAGAGACUCUGGAGUCCCCAAAAUGUCAGAGAUCUAAAAGAUGCUUUCAACAGAAUAACAAGACACCGCUGCAGAAUGCUGAGACGUAGGAUAGCUGCACAGCCUCUUUACACCAGAUAUUGCAACUAUGAGGAAAGCAUGUAA